AGCUUUGCACAGUGGCAGUAUCAUAGCCAAUGAAGUUUAUCAGAAGUGCAAUUACUGCUAAUUGAAAAAAAGACCCGUAGAAGAGAUGCUCCCUUUUCAGUGACCUACCUCUAUAG
rnacentral:snRNA from 1 species